rnacentral:rRNA from 1 species
AUUGAACGCUGGCGGCAGGCUUAACACAUGCAAGUCGAGCGAGCGGCUGACGGAUGAGUAAUUCCUAGGAAUCUGCCUUAUGGAGGGGGAUAACUAAUGGAAACGGUAGCUAAUACCGCAUACCAUCAGAUGAACCCAUAGGGGGUUAGCUUGUAGGUAAGGUAACGGCUUACCUAGGCGACGAUCCCUAGCUGGUCUGCGUGGAUGAUCAGCCGCACUGGGACUUAGACACGCCCCAUACGCCUACGGGAGGCAGCAGUGGGGAAAAUUGCACAAUGGGCGCAAGCCUGAUGCAGCCAUGCCGCGUGUAUGAAGAAGGCCUUCGGGUUGGAAAGUACUUUCAGUCGUGAGGCGUUACCGACAGAAGAAGCACCGGCUAACUCCGUGCCAGCAGCCGCGGUAAUUC